UUCUCAGGUAAGGGACACACAACAAACUUUAAAUAGAAAGAGAGAGAAAGAGAAAGAAAAAGAAGCACACUCAUUCUGUCACUCUCUCUCAAACACAUAACAAACUCUUAUUUGAUUCCGUUACUUCUUAUGUUCGAAAACCCUAGCCAAACCCUUCUGUUAUAACAAACUCAGAAUUUCACGGUGACUGUUUGUGCUGUGAGUGAAAACCAUGAACCGUCAAGUGCUACCACCGUUGCCGAAGAAUGCUAGCUCGGUGGAUCCUAAAAUCUGGCGAGCAAUCGCCGGCUCCGCCGUGCAUAUCCCCGCCGUUAAUUCUAGGGUUUAUUAUUUUCCUCAAGGACACAUGGACCAAGCUUCUUCGCCUCCGAAUAACCUUUCUCCGCAACUGCUUUCACGGCCUUACAUUCUUUGUUCGGUUUCUGCUGUUCAUUUUCUCGCUGAUCCGAAAACCGAUGAGGUUUUUGCGAAGCUGUUUCUUCAGCCUCUCAAUGAUUUCGCUGCCAUUUUUCCUCGUGUUCCUGCUCCGGAAGUUGAUGACGGUGAGAGGAUUUUCUCGUUUGCGAAGAUUCUUACUCCGUCGGAUGCUAACAACGGAGGUGGAUUCUCCGUUCCGAGGUUUUGCGCUGACUCGAUUUUCCCGCCGCUGGAUUAUAGUAUGGACCCUCCGUAUCAGUCUCUUGUGAUUACUGACGUGCACGGUAUGGCUUGGGAGUUUCGUCAUAUUUACCGUGGUACGCCGAGGCGGCAUCUGCUUACUACCGGUUGGAGUAGGUUCGUUAACGGGAAGAAACUUGUUGCCGGUGAUUCCGUUGUUUUCAUGAAGAAUACUAGAGGUGUAAUGUUCAUCGGGAUCCGUCGUGCUGUCCGUUUUGUUCCGGCUCGGAGUGCUAGCGACGCUGCGAGAUUGUGUCUUCCGAUCUGCGGGGUGAGAAACAGGGUGGAUGAUGAAGAUGAGGAAAAUCAGGUGGAAGAGAAGUGUAGGGAGGGGUUUUCGAGGAACGGGAAAGGGAAGUUGUCGCCGAAAUCGGUUGCGGAGGCGGCGGAAUUGGCGGCUCAGGGGUUGGCGUUUGAAGUUGUGUACUAUCCGAAAGCUGGUUGGUCGGAUUUUGUGGUGAAAGCUGAGGUUGUUGAUGCAGCAAUGAGUGUUACUUGGUGUCCUGGAAUGAGAAUCAAAAUGGCUGUGGAGACUGAUGAUUCUUCCAGGACUACAUGGUUUCAGGGUGUAGUGUCCUCAGUCUCUGUUCCUGAACAUGGCCCUUGGGGAGGUUCCCCUUGGCGUAUGCUUCAGAUUACAUGGGAUGAACCUGAAGUGUUGCAAACUUCCAAGUGGGUCAGCCCUUGGCAGAUCGAACUUCUUUCUACUACACCUUCACUGCAUACACCAUUUCCCUCAAUGAAAAGGCUUAGAGGGCCCCAUGGGGUGUUAACUGAUGGAGAUCCCUUUUCCAUCACAGCAUUCGCUAAUUCAACAAUGGGACAAUUGAAUCAAUCAUUGUUGAGUUACGGUACUUUUCCUGCUGGCAUGCAGGGAGCCAGGCAUGAUCUAUUUUCUGUUUCAAGUUUUUCCAACUUUCCAGGUGAAAACCCCCGUCUGUGUAUGAGUAACUCCUUUGGCAACAACACAGUGCUGGGGUUGAAAUCUUUGUCAACUGAGCUAAAUGUUGGCAGUUCUCAAUCUGAUGAUUUUUCACCAGAGAGCCAGAAUAGUUUGCCUUCCUUUGGCACAGAUUUUGUCCGGAACUACAACUGCAACUCAAUGAAACCUGGGCCUGUAUCGUUUCAGCUAUUUGGUGCAGUCAUUCAGACAGAACGGCCUGUUGAAAGUGGUUCGCAUGGUACUGGUAGCCCUGGAGAUGAUAGCAGUAAGGGCUGCAAUGAAACUGAAGGCAUGAACAACCCUCUUGAGGAUUCUUUGAUUUACUCAAAAUUGCUUGACAGACUUGAUGGCCAGUGCCAAAUAGCCUCAACUGUCGAGGCAUGCUAUUUGUGAAAGUAGUUGUGAUGUCAUGCACAUAAGUAGCUGUACAGAACUUCAUUAGGGAGGAAAAAAGAUGCAGCUUCUCAUGGCAUGAAAAUGAAUGAAUUAAAAAACUGGUAUUUGUGACUCUCUCAUCUCAAGUACUUUCUUCAAGCAGGCAGGACCACCCUUUUGACCUUGCAGUAUGCUGGUUAUCUUUUGUUUGUCUUGUUGAAUUUGGAACAAUGAAACUAUAUUUGGAAAGAUUCAUGUAUGAUGUUACAUUUGACGUUUUAAAUAUUUCCUAAAAAACAAGAUAUGUUGUCUCAUUUUCGCCCCCACGAUUGGAUUAUGAAGAAAGUUUUGUAUGUUGCUGUUCAUUUUAUUUUUGAGCAGAUAUGUUGCUGUUCAUUUUAUUUUUGAGCAGAUAUGUUGCUCUUCAUUUAUUCUUUUGAGCAGAUAUGUGGCUGUUUAUUGUCUUAACAAUAAGCAUUUAUGUCUCGUAGACAGGAGAAUAUGCUAUUCAGCGCUAGUUCUUAGUAUUGGCUUAGGAAACAUGUCUUGAUACGUGGAACAUUUGACCCUUUGACCGCGCUAUUAUAGGUUUUGGGCGACAGAAUUGGUUUGUCUCAUAAUUUAUCUUAAAAUUUGGAUAUUGUUUUAGAAGUGAUCUACGACUACAAGCAUCGAAGAUAUUGUCAUUUGUCAAUUUCAAUAUUUGUGGGACAAAGGGAGUAAAUCUAUCAAUAAAAUAAGCAACUACUAGCUUACAACCGAUAUCUCUAUCAGCUUCAUUU